rnacentral:rRNA from 1 species
UACGAAGGGGGCUGGCGUUGCUCGGAAUCACUGGGCGUAAAGGGUGCGUAGGCGGGUCUUUUAAGUCAGGGGUGAAAUCCUGGAGCUCAACUCCAGAACUGCCUUUGAUACUGAAGAUCUUGAGUUCGGGAGAGGUGAGUGGAACUGCGAGUGUAGAGGUGAAAUUCGUAGAUAUUCGCAAGAACACCAGUGGCGAAGGCGGCUCACUGGCCCGAUACUGACGCUGAUGCACGAAAGCGUGGGGAGCAAACAGG